AUGGUUGUGGAUUUUUUUUUUCAGCGGCAUGAUGAUCCCUGCUCCCCAUUUGUUGUACAACUACUAAUGGAUCUUUGGGAUGCAAUCAGGAGGUUUGAAGCUGCAUGUGGUGAUGGCUGGAAGCAAUGGAUAGAACAGAUGCAGAGAAAUGGAACAGAGGAUGCAUUGAGACAAUUAGUUCUGAAGAAAAAUGCAGAAGUUCAAGCAAAUAGGGCAAGAUGUGAUAGUUUAGAAAGAAAACAAAUGUCCAGCAUUGUGUUUUAUGGCAUGAUCAUGUUAGUGGCAGGUUUAUUUGCAAGAUUUGUCCUGCAUUGA
rnacentral:rRNA from 1 species